CCUACGGGAGGCAGCAGUGGGGGAUAUUGCACAAUGGGGGAAACCCUGAUGCAGCGACGCCGCGUGCGGGAAGAAGUAUUUCGGUAUGUAAAGCUCUAUCAGUAGGGAAGAAAAUGACAGUACCUGACCAAGAAGCCCCGGCUAACUACGGGCCAGCAGCCGCGGUACUACGUAGGGGGCAAGCGUUAUCCGGAUUUACUGGGUGUAAAGGGAGCGUAGACGGUUAUGUAAGUCUGGAGUGAAAGGCCGGGGCCCAACCCCGGGACUGCUUUGGAAACUGUGUAACUGGAGUACAGGAAGGGCAGGCGGAAUUCCUGGUGUAGCGGUGAAAUGCGUAGAUAUCAGGAAGAACACCGGCGGCGAAGGCGGCCUGCUGGACUGAAACUGACGUUGAGGCUCGAAAGCGUGGGGAGCGAACAGGAUUAGAUACCCUAGUAGUC
rnacentral:rRNA from 1 species